GGCUCCUCCCACCCUUCUCGGUGGGGCCAGGGCGGGGCAAAAGAAGCGGCUGGACCAGUUGUGGAUGUGUCCAAACUUUGUCCAAAUUGUUGGGCUGCUUUGGCAACUGGAUGUAAACUGGGCCCCCAGGCUGCCCAUGGACUACGAAUCCCAGAAGGCACCACGCCACCUGCCCGAGGCCAACGCAGAGAGCCAGCAGCAUUGCCCCUCGGGAGCGGUAGUCCGUAUCUCAGCCCUUCCCCCCUCCACCUGUAGACGGCCGGCUCGCGUGGGGUUGCUCCCCAGCCCUGGAGCCACCAUGUGAGGUUGGCUGCUACGAAGGUAACAGUGAGGGUUAAUAAUGGGAUCUGAUACCAUGAGGAUGGGCAUCUGACAAGUGUCUCACACAGCUGCACCCAGCCCCAGCCCCCAGCACCAAGAGAGUGUGAGCUGGCUGGCAUCCUUCCCUGCCCUAUCCCCACAGCUGGGAGAAAGUAGGGACAGAUUACGGUAAAUCCAAGCUCUGGACACAGGGCCUUCCCACAGCUCUGCCCUGACUUGUUUGGGAGGAUGGUAUAAGGGAGAGGGCUCCCAGAGAGAGUAUGUCAUGGAGUAAUCUCCCCCCACAACCCAGAAAAAUCGGGGCUUCGUUUCCACGUCCAUCCUGGGAGAAGCAGGAGAAGCAAUUGGAGGACUCUACUACUUACCGUAGCCACUGAGCUAUAUCUGGUUGGAUGGGCGGACCAAACCCACUGCACUCAUGCCACACAGAGAUCACAGCUGGUAUGUCGGUGAGGCCCUCCAGUAUAAUGGUCUUGUAGUUAAUGCCUCAUUGAUAUUCAUGGAACAGUUUACAUCUCCCAGAAUUCUUGUUUCAGGCUCUAUGCAGAUUCAGGUAGACAUCACAGCAUCAGUUACACUCUGGUCUCAUUUUCAUGCAUUUUUUUGUAACCAUGAGGGCUAGAAACUUACAUUUUUAAAUGAGAGCUGAGAUUUUUGACAUAAUUGUGACUCCAGGAGCUAAGAGUUUAGUCAUGGACCUAUACUGCCACCCACCCCUAUGUUACCUAUGCCUUAAUCUAGCCCUGGGAAAGAAGGAAAUCUCUCUCUUCCCCCACAACUACACCUGUCCUAUCCACUGCAUCAUGAGAGAAAGAACUGUCACCAUUCCCCUACAACCACCUCUUAACUGGUCACAGCACUGGGACAGAGUGAACUAUCACCCUUAUCCCAAUGCCAAUCCUGACAUAGCACCAUGAGAGUAAGAAGCAUCAUAAUUCUCUCUCUCACUGACUUGCCCAAAAUCACACAUCUAGGUAGCAUGCAGUGCAGUUAUAGCCAUGAAGAAGAGCUCUGUAUGGCUCAAAAGCAUGUCCUGCUCACCAACAGAAGUUGGUCCAAUAAAAGAUAUUACCUCAUGCACUUGUCAUUUGAUAAGCUUAUGGCUCAGUAUUACAGAACACUUACAGAUAUUAGGGUAGCUAAAUCAUUGAAGAAAAUGAAAGGCUGAGAAAUAGUAUUACUGUGAAACCUGCACUAAAGACCAUCUCUAAUACAACCAGGUAGAUUCUGUCUCUAGCCUGUCUAAUGCUUGUUUAAUAAUUACUAUGAACAUUAAAUUGCCAACAUGUUAAAUUUACUUGAACAGUAGGCACUUUCCAAUAAUUUAAUAAACCAUAAAAAGCCAGAAACUCUAACCUUUUAAUGUAUUAGAGACCACUUACCACGUCAUGUUUUUGUAGUGCUGGGAAAAAAAAUUUAAUACAAAACUGCUUUCUUACUUUAUUUUUUUUUAAGAGAUCUGAACUGUUAUUGUUUCAUACUGAUUAUUAAGGGCUCAAUCCUGCAGGUUGCUGAGGGCCAUCUAUGACAGUUCCUACAGGAGUCACACAGCACUUCUCAGGACCAAGUCCUCCAGCUCUCUUCAGAGGUCCAAAUAUGCUUAGCCAGGUUUUGACCAGUGGGAUUCUGCCUCCAUUUCUGGAAGUCUAAUGUCCAGGAAGUGGAGCUCUUGUGUGGACUGGACCAGGCUGAGGUUGAUGGUGGGAUGGAAAUUGUUGAAAUCAUGGUGGAAUUCCUCAAGGGCUUCUUUUCCAUGGGUCCAGAUGAUGAAGAUGUCAUCAAUAUAGCGCAAAUAGAGUAGGGGCAUUAAGGGAUGAGAGCUGAGGAAGCGUUGUUCUAAAUCAGCCAUAAAAAUGUUGGCAUACUGUGGGGCCAUGCGGGUACCCAUAGGAGUGCCGCUGAUUUGAAGGUAUACAUGUCCCCAAAUGUGAAAUAGUUAUGAGUGAGAAUAAAGUCACAAAGUUCAGCCAUCAGGUUUGCCGUGACAUUAUUGGGGAUACUGUUCCUGAUGGCUUGUAGUCCAUCUUUGGACAGGCCCAACAAAGAAAAUAACAGAACACCACUAGCCAUCACCUUCAGCCCCCAACUAAAACCUCUCCAACGCAUCAUCAAGGAUCUACAGCCUAUCCUGAAGGACGACCCAUCACUCUCACAGAUCUUGGGAGACAGGCCAGUCCUUGCUUACAGACAGCCCCCCAACCUGAAGCAAAUACUCACGAGCAACCACACACCACACAACAAAAACACUAACCCAUGAACCUAUCCUUGCAACAAAGCCUGUUGCUAACUGUGUCCACAUAUUUAUUCAGGGGACACCAUCAUAGGGCCUAAUCACAUCAGCCACAUUAUCAGAGGCUCGUUCACCUGCACAUCUACCAAUGUGAUAUAUGCCAUCAUGUGCCAGCAAUGCCCCCUGCCAUGUACAUUGGCCAAACCAGACAGUCUCUACAUAAAAAAAUAAAUGGACUCAAAUCAGACGUCAAGAAUUAUAACAUUCAAAAACCAGUAGGAGAACACUUCAGUCUCUUUGGUCACUCGAUUACAGACCUAAAAGUGGCAAUUCUUCAACAAAAAAACUUCAGAAACAGACUCCAACGAGAGACUGCUGAAUUGGAAUUAAUUUGCAAACUGUACACCAUUAAAUUUGGCUUGAAUAAAGACUGGGAGUGGAUGUGUCAUUACACAAAGUAAAACUAUUUCCCCAUGUUUAUUUCCCCCCCACCGCCUACUGUUCCUCACAUGUUCUUGUCAACUGCUGGAAAUGGCCUACCUUGAUUAUCACUGCAAAAGGUUUUUUUCUCUCCUGCUGGUAGUAGCUCACCUUACCUGAUCACUCUCAUUACAGUGUGUAUGGUAACACCCAUUGUUUCAUGUUCUCUGUGUAUAUAAAAUCUCCCCACUGUAUUUUCCACUGCAUGCAUCCGAUGAAGUGAGCUGUAGCUCACGAAAGCUUGUGCUCAAAUA